UACACUCCUACGGGAGGCAGCAGUGGGGAAUAUUGCACAAUGGGCGCAAGCCUGAUGCAGCCAUGCCGCGUGUGUGAAGAAGGCCUUCGGGUUGUAAAGCACUUUCAGCGGGGAGGAAGGCGAUACGGUUAAUAACCGUGUUGAUUGACGUUACCCGCAGAAGAAGCACCGGCUAACUCCGUGCCAGCAGCCGCGGUAAUACGGAGGGUGCAAGCGUUAAUCGGAAUUACUGGGCGUAAAGCGCACGCAGGCGGUCUGUCAAGUCGGAUGUGAAAUCCCCGGGCUCAACCUGGGAACUGCAUUCGAAACUGGCAGGCUUGAGUCUUGUAGAGGGGGGUAGAAUUCCAGGUGUAGCGGUGAAAUGCGUAGAGAUCUGGAGGAAUACCGGUGGCGAAGGCGGCCCCCUGGACAAAGACUGACGCUCAGGUGCGAAAGCGUGGGGAGCAAACAGGAUUAGAUACCCCUGUAGUCCCAUGA
rnacentral:rRNA from 1 species